UGUCAGGUGACUAAAUGACGUGAUGAUGGAUGGGUAAUGGACCCAUUGAAUCGAGAUAUUGGAUGGAGUGUGGUAUAUGGUUAAUAUGAUAACAAGCAGAGACUAGUGUAAUUAUGAAAUAGCUAAUCAUGACAUGAGUAAAGAGUAAUUCUUUGUGUAAAUCAUACUUUAAAUUUCUCUAUUAGCAAUUUACCAAAACUACGCAACCAACAGAAAAUGCUGGUUUUUGAAAAAUUGUAUUUGUUUAAAUAGUAAUUGUAAUUGAAUAAAAUAAAAUAAUAAUUGU
rnacentral:lncRNA from 1 species